UCAACCUCUUUAACCUUGGCUUCUUGUUUCUCAUCUUUGUGGUGAGGAAUGUGGAUCCCUUUAGAUUCAAACGCUUCUUCUACAGCCUCAGUCACCAAGUCUUUGAUUCCAAAUCUUGAAGAGGUUCCAGAGUCUUUCUUUGACUUCUUCUUAUCCUUCUUAUCCUUUUUAUCCUUCUUAUCAUUUUUAUCUUUCUUAUCCUUCUUUGUGCUCUCUCCUAUCUGCUCCUUAGCUUCAUCAAUGAGCCCACCACUGUGACAAGAGUCUGAGAUGAUUGUAAUCUGUGCAUCUUUUGGCACCUUCUUCACAAGCUCCCUGAACUCAUCAUCUGAGAAUAGAAUCACCACAUAAGAAUAUGCAUAUGAAAAAGAGUGAAUCUGAAGCUAUAUAGCCUAUAUGCAAAAUAUCUUCUUGAGCUGAAAGAAAAAUUGAUGAGAAAUUGCAUUUGAUUUUUUUUUAUUACUUAGGAGAGUCUGAAUCUUUAAUUGGUAUAUUACUUAGGGCGAGAUUCAUACAUGUAAUUUUUUUUUUGUAUCUGACUUUAACCAAAUAAAAACAUCAAAACCAUGCUUCAGUUCAUCCAGAUCUCAACCUGAGAUUGAAUCUGAAACCCUAAGCAAUUUAUUCCUUUAAUCAUCUGCUGAUAAAUUCGAGAAUACUUUGAUCCCAAGAAAGAUAAUGUUCAUGAAGCAAACCAAGUGGUAAUAAAAGGUUCUAUUGACCAAGACAGAACAGAGUCAAAGUCAACUACAAUCUAGUUUUGUCACUUACCGGUAAUAAGAUUCAUAUCGCAAGGAACAAUACACUCAUUAUAACCAGUAUCAUCAUCUUCCCCUGUCUCAGCCGGCAACCUCGUCCCAUGUCCACUGUAAUGAACAACGAGAACAUCGCCAGAUCUAGCCGACUCAACUAGAUUCAACAACGCACGUCGGAUGUUCUUGCCUGUAGGUUUGGUGGAAGAGUUGUCGGUAUCGAUCAGCUCAGUGAUGUUUCUCUCGGAGAAACCGAACCGAUCGACUAGGCAUUUGUGCAUCCUCUUAACAUCGUUGACGCAUCGUUGACGCAGCCUCGUAGCUCCGCCUUGGUUCCAGGGUAGUUGAUUCCGAUCAAUACUGCUUUCUUCGCCAUCGAUGAUACCUCAAAAGGUUCGCUUCACAAAAUAAUUUUGUUUUUGAUUUUGAUCGUGAGCUGUUUUUCCUUUUUUAAAGAUGAUGAUCGUGAGCUGUUACAAUACAUCUCGUCGUUCUCCAUGGUUUUAUAGUAACGUUUAUUGCUUUUUCUUUGGUCAAGAUACUAAUGUUGAUUACUAUUAUAAAUUAAAGAAGCCUUUAAUUAAUAACGUUCCAUAAAAGAAUAAAGAUAACUUUUAUCAAAUUUUUAAUAUGAACUAUUGGGGAUGAUUGGAAAGAGCUUUAGCUUUAUAUUUUUGCUUUAGAAAUAAAUCUGUAGAUUUUUUUUGCUGUGGGUGUAGAUAAUUUUGAUGUCCAAUAUUAGCUGUAUGCUUAAAAAGAUUCAAAAACGUACAUAUAAAUAUUCUAAAGCAAAAAUUAAGUGCUCUAGAUUUUCCACGGCUAAAAAUAAAUAAAAAGGAAAGAAAAAUCUGUAACUUUAAAAAAAAUUUACAAAGCAUGAUUGGCAAAAUUUUGGACUGUAGAAAUAAUUUAGGUUGUAGAGAAAUCUUACAUCACUUCUAAAACACUUGCCAAUCAACCCCAUUAUUUAUUUAAUCACGAUUCCAUUCUGUAUAUACUCACUCUGUUUCUAAGAGAUAAAUGUUCUUACAAAAUAUUAUUUCAAAAAAUAUAUGUUUUAUUUUUACUAAAUAUAUUUUAUUAGUUAAUAAUGAUAAAUUACAAACUUCAAAAAAACACUUCUUGAAAUCUUGUUGGUGUAAAAUAAUUGGAAAUUGAUAAACAUAAAAUAAUAGAUUUAAUAACAAAAUUUAAUAUGUGUAAAAACAUAUAAACUUACAUCAUUUAGGAACACAUGGAGUAUUAUAUUACGUAAAUUAGCCUUAUAAUGUAAUUAAAUAUAUCAUAUUUGAGAUAUAAACUAUAUUCUAAUUAUUCAAAUAUAUCCAAAAUGCCACCAAUAUUAUUAUUGGUUUAACCGUUUAGAGAAGAAAAGUAAACGUCCAUGGCUUUGUUCUUUCUUCCAAAUAAAAAGCUUAAAACGUACAAACAUUGUAUAGAUUGUGAGGAAUGGUAUGGCAAGACUUUUACGCAUCUUAAUUGUGAGAAAUAAAUAAUUGGGAACUGGCUUGGCUUGUUGUUGUUGUGCACACCAUCUCUUGUAGGCACGAGCAAUUCCAUGUUAUAUCAUUGAUCAGUUAGCAUUAUCAACGUAUGUUUCAACACGUUACGGAUUUCCUUAUCAGCAAAUAAAUGGUUGAUUUCUUGUGACACAAGUCAGAUUUUAACCAAAAAAAACUCAGGAAAAAUAGGAUAACCCCAAAAUAAAUAACAGCUUAAAAGAUUGUAUGGUAAAUGUCAAUCUACAAAACAAAAGCUUAUACAUUAUUCAAAUUCACUUAAAAAAAAAAAAAGGAAAAAAGAAAUAAAGAUUGGCAAGACCGUCUUAGUUUUAUUUUUUAACACUAGAUAAUUAUGAUAUUACAACUAUGUGAAAUAUUACAGACGAUUCUACUGCCGACAAUUCUACCUGCCGUUCGAAGAUUCACGUCUGACUACAUCACUUGAGCCGUCCUAUGGGAUCUAUGCUUGACGGGUACUGCUUGCGCCAUGCUGCAGAUAUUUUGUAAGUCUUUUCUCCUUUAAUUCGUAUAAUUCCGCCUUAUCCGGGAAUUGAAACUCAGACCUCUUAGUGUAAUGAGCCCCUGGUGAAACCAAACCGUCUUAGUUAUUUUAUCAAUUCUUUGAUAAUUCUGAACUUUAUAGGCUUAAUAUUUUCUUAGUCUUAGUAUCAGGCUUGUAUAUCACAUGGUAAAUUGGCAAGAAGAUGUAAGAUUAUUAUCUAACAAGAAACUUCCUCUGCUUGGGUCUUAAACGUUUCCUUAGUGGACAAAUAUGAUAUAUGCAUGUCCAAAACAUACAAAGUUAAGAAGUUAAAAGAAUAUUUUUCUCAGCAAGCACAGUUCUCAGAAAUAAUAUUUGAGAAUUUAAAUAAAAAUAGGUAAAAAAUUUAAAAUAACCAAUGGACAAUGAACGCUUGACAUUCAAAUCAAAGUUACAAUAACAUAACAACAAAGAAAUCAGAUAACUUAUUCAACACGUAACUCCACAUACUUUGUUGAGUACCAACCCUUAACAAAUAAACGGAGCAUUCACAUACUCAUCGCUACAAUACAGCCCCGGUCGUUGAGCAUAGCCCUGUUUCUUAAGAAGCUUUCUUGCUUUCAUAACAAGUUCCUUGUAUGUAAUCUCACCUUUUGUCUCCCCAAGUAUGAUCUGCACAGCAUUACUAAAUGCUCCAUAAGCCAUCUCAGGUUUCCCCACAGGACUUGCAUCCGCGGAAGUUUGAUCAGUUUGACAACCACUUAUGAGAAUACCAUUAUCAGCAAGAGAACCAUUGCUUGCACCUGCAUAGACAUCUUGCUUUCUCUCCACAUCUGUCUUCAUCGCAGGCUUCGCAUACUCUUCAUCAUUGUUCAGCUUGUGUUCAAGAAACUCUUGAGCUAGUUUCCCAACCAUUCCCAAUAUCCCACCUUCACUUUUGCCUUCUUGUAGCUUCUUUAGAAGCACUUUCAUGAACUUCUUCACCUUUGGAGAAGCAUCUUCUCCAAACACAUUGAAAAGUGUUGGUCUGAUUUUGCCAACUUCGAUGUCAUUGUUACCGGUGUCAUGCUUGAGGAUAUCGAUUAGGGUUUGUAGAGGCAGAGAUUUGUUCACAACAUGGACUUUUUCAUCAUUGUCUAGUUCAACCUCUUUAACCUUGGCUUCUUGUUUCUCAUCUUUGUGGUGAGGAAUGUGGAUCCCUUUAGAUUCAAACGCUUCUUCUACAGCCUCAGUCACCAAGUCUUUGAUUCCAAAUCUUGAAGAGGUUCCAGAGUCUUUCUUUGACUUCUUCUUAUCCUUCUUAUCCUUUUUAUCCUUCUUAUCAUUUUUAUCUUUCUUAUCCUUCUUUGUGCUCUCUCCUAUCUGCUCCUUAGCUUCAUCAAUGAGCCC
rnacentral:lncRNA from 1 species